rnacentral:rRNA from 1 species
CGGACGGGUGAGUAACGCGUGGGCAACCUGCCCUGUACUGGGGGAUAACACCUGGAAACAGGUGCUAAUACCGCAUAAGCGCGCAGUGCCGCAUGGCACGGCGCGGAAAACCCCGGUGGUACAGGAUGGGCCCGCGUCUGAUUAGCUGGUUGGCAGGGUAACGGCCUACCAAGGCGACGAUCAGUAGCCGGCCUGAGAGGGUGGACGGCCACAUUGGGACUGAGAUACGGCCCAA